CUAUUUAUCUAUCUAUCUGUCUAUCUAUCUCUAUCUAUCAAUUUAAUUAUCUAUCAUCUAUGUAUAUAUCUAUCUAGCAAUCAAUAAUCUUUCUAUCUAUCUAAUUAGCUAUCUAUCAUCUUUCUAUUCUAUCCAUAUAUCUUUCUAUCUAUCUAUCUAUCUAUCUAUCAUCUGUCUGUCUAUCUAUUUCUAUAUAUCAAUCUAAUUAUCUAUUUAUCG